rnacentral:rRNA from 1 species
GACGAACGUUGGCGGCGUGCUUAACACAUGCAAGUCGAACGGAAAGGCCCUGCUUUUGUGGGGUGCUCGAGUGGCGAACGGGUGAGUAACACGUGAGUAACCUGCCCUUGACUUUGGGAUAACUUCAGGAAACUGGGGCUAAUACCGGAUAGGAGCUCCUGCUGCAUGGUGGGGGUUGGAAAGUUUCGGCGGUUGGGGAUGGACUCGCGGCUUAUCAGCUUGUUGGUGGGGUAGUGGCUUACCAAGGCUUUGACGGGUAGCCGGCCUGAGAGGGUGACCGGCCACAUUGGGACUGAGAUACGGCCCAGACUCCUACGGGAGGCAGCAGUGGGGAAUAUUGCACAAUGGGCGGAAGCCUGAUGCAGCAACGCCGCGUGCGGGAUGACGGCCUUCGGGUUGUAAACCGCUUUCGCCUGUGACGAAGCGUGAGUGACGGUAAUGGGUAAAGAAGCACCGGCUAACUACGUGCCAGCAGCCGCGGUGAUACGUAGGGUGCGAGCGUUGUCCGGAUUUAUUGGGCGUAAAGGGCUCGUAGGUGGUUGAUCGCGUCGGAAGUGUAAUCUUGGGGCUUAACCCUGAGCGUGCUUUCGAUACGGGUUGACUUGAGGAAGGUAGGGGAGAAUGGAAUUUCUGGUGGAGCGGUGGAAUGCGCAGAUAUCAGGAGGAACACCAGUGGCGAAGGCGGUUCUCUGGGCCUUUCCUGACGCUGAGGAGCGAAAGCGUGGGGAGCGAACAGGCUUAGAUACCCUGGUAGUCCACGCUGUAAACGGUGGGUACUAGGUGUGGGGUCCAUUCCACGGGUUCCGUGCCGUAGCUAACGCUUUAAGUACCCCGCCUGGGGAGUACGGCCGCAAGGCUAAAACUCAAAGGAAUUGACGGGGCCCCGCACAAGCGGCGGAGCAUGCGGAUUAAUUCGAUGCAACGCGUAGAACCUUACCUGGGUUUGACAUGGAUCGGGAGUGCUCAGAGAUGGGUGUGCCUCUUUUGGGGUCGGUUCACAGGUGGUGCAUGCCUGUCGUCAGCUCGUGUCGUGAGAUGUUGGGUUAAGUCCCGCAACGAGCGCAACCCUUGUUCACUGUUGCCAGCACGUUAUGGUGGGGACUCAGUGGAGACCGCCGGGGUCAACUCGGAGGAAGGUGGGGAUGACGUCAAGUCAUCAUGCCCCUUAUGUCCAGGGCUUCACGCAUGCUACAAUGGCUGGUACAGAGAGUGGCGAGCCUGUGAGGGUGAGCGAAUCUCGGAAAGCCGGUCUCAGUUCGGAUUGGGGUCUGCAACUCGACCUCAUGAAGUCGGAGUCGCUAGUAAUCGCAAAGCAGCAACGCUGCGGUGAAUACGUUCCCGGG